AUAAAAGCGUAUAUGGUGAAUGCCUUGGCAGCCAGAGGCGAAGAAGGACGUGCUAAUCUGCGAAAAGUAUCGGUAAGUUGAUAUGACACGUUAUAGCCGAUAAUAUCCGAAUGGGGAAACCCGAUACCUAUUCAAAAUAGGUAUCAUUGUUAAUUGAAUUCAUAGAUUAACAAAGCGAACCGAGAGAAUUGAAACAUCUUAGUAUCUCGAGGAAAAGAAAUCAAACGAGAUUCCCUAAGUAGUGGCGAGCGAAAGGGGAACAGCCUAGAACAAAAUUACAUUUUAGUUUUUAGUGGAAAAAUUUGGAAAAGUUUACAAUAAAAGGUGAUAGUCCUGUACACGAAAAUUACUAAUUUUGUAAGUUCGAAAAGUAGGGCGGGACACGAGAAAUCCUGUCUGAAUAUGGGGGGACCAUCCUCUAAGGCUAAAUACUACUGACUGACCGAUAGUGAACUAGUACCGUGAGGGAAAGGCGAAAAGAACCCCGGUUAGGGGAGUGAAAUAGAACCUGAAACCGUAUACGUACAAGCAGUAGGAGCCUGUUUUUUAGGUGACUGCGUACCUUUUGUAUAAUGGGUCAGCGACUUGUAUUCUGUAGCAAGGUUAACCGAUUUUAAAGUAGGGGAGCCGUAGGGAAACCGAGUCUGAAAUGGGCGAUUUUUAGUUUCAGGAUACAGACCCGAAACCCGGUGAUCUAGCCACGGACAGGUUGAAGGUUAGGUAAAACUAACUGGAGGACCGAACCGACUGAUGUUGAAAAAUCAGCGGAUGAUCUAUGGUUAGGGGUGAAAGGCCAAUCAAACCGGGAGAUAGCUGGUUCUCCCCGAAAGCUAUUUAGGUAGCGCCUCGUGAAUUCAUCUUCGGGGGUAGAGCACUGUUUCGGUUAGGGAGCCAUCCUGGUUUACCAAUCCGAUGCAAACUCCGAAUACCGUAGAAUGUUAUCACGGGAGACACACAGCGGGUGCUAACGUUCGUUGUGGAGAGGGAAACAACCCAGACCGCCAGCUAAGGUCCCAAAGUCAUAGUUAAGUGGGAAACGAUGUGGGAAGGCAUAAACAGCCAGGAUGUUGGCUUAGAAGCAGCCAUCAUUUAAAGAAAGCGUAAUAGCUCACUGGUCGAGUCAGCCUGCGCGGAAGAUGUAACGGGGCUAAAUUAUGCACCGAAGCUGCGGCAAUGAAUCUUAAAAAUUUUAUUGGGUAGGGGAGCGUUCUGUAAGCCGAUGAAGAUUUACUGUAAAGUAUUUUGGAGGUAUCAGAAGUGCGAAUGCUGACAUGAGUAACGAUAAAAUAGGUAAAAAACCUAUUCGCCGAAAUACCAAGGUUUCCUGUCCAACGGUAAUCGAGGCAGGGUAAGCCGACCCCUAAGGCGAGGCCGAUAGGCGUAGUCGAUGGACAACAGGUUAAUAUUCCUGUGCUUAAUGUUAUUGUGAAGGGGGGACGAAGUAGGUUAAGUUAGCUAGGCGACGGUUGUCCUAGUUUAAGCGUGUAGGUAUAAAAAUUUGGCAAAUCCGGUUUUUUUUAAUCUGAGGCGUGAUGACGAACUGUUUUUAAAACAAUGAAGUAACUGAUACCAAACUUCCAAGAAAAGCCUCUAAACUAUAGAUAAUGUUAAAUCGUACCCCAAACCGACACAGGUGGUUAAGUAGAGCAUACUAAGGCGUUGAGAGAACUCGGGUGAAGGAACUAGGCAAAAUAGUGCCGUAACUUCGGGAAAAGGCACACUGGUAUUAGGUUAAUAGAAUUUACUUUUAUAAGCUGAAACCAGUCUAAGAUAACAGCUGGCUGCAACUGUUUAUUAAAAACACAGCACUGUGCAAACACGAAAGUGGAAGUAUACGGUGUGACGCCUGCCCGGUGCCGGAAGGUUAAUCGAAGGAGUCAAGGGAAACCUAAAGCUCUAGACUGAAGCCCCGGUAAACGGCGGCCGUAACUAUAACGGUCCUAAGGUAGCGAAAU
rnacentral:rRNA from 1 species